ACCCCAGCCUUUGCUGAUGGGCUUCAUUCCCUCUCUAGGAUGUGCUGGGAUAAGCGCUCUCCUCUCUUUUUAGUGAAGGGGCUCUUUCAGUUUAUUUCAGCUUGUUUUCAGCAGGUACUUUUGGGCAUCUAAAGCAACAGAGGCUUUGAAGAUACUGUGAAGAAAACAGCGUUGAACAGAGGGAGUAUUGGAGUUCAUGAUUUUGGAUUGUGUGUUCAGGAGUGCUCUAUAGCCCAGGUGCUGCUCAUAAUAACAGCUUGGAAUCAGGACAAAGCUGGAGCCUCGAGGACCCAGCUGACCGAGAGGCUAACAGGCAAUCACGGGGCCCUCGGAGGCAGACUCAUUUCGGAUCCAACAUGGAUUCACAUCACCGAUCAUCCAAAAGAUAAGUCAGGGGCCACAGCCUGUAGAUGGGAGGAUAGGAGAGUACUGGGUUGGGAAUUCCUGGAACAGAUGUAAAAAUUAGCAGAGGGUAAAGGGAGAGGCUCUACUUUUGAUUGCAACUGUUGGGCGUGCAGUGCAGAACAGUUCCGGUCUGUGUCGUGUUGUCUGGUGUGCCGUGUUACCUAGUGUGUCUUUGGGGUCCCUUGGAUCAGAUAUCUUUGCCUUUUCCUCUCGAGGCUCUUACUACAAACAUCAGCCGUCAUCUCUAGGUUCUCAAACGCUCGUACUUCUUGGCACAAUGCCAAUAUCAUUUGUUCCUUCACCGGCAGGCUCGGCCCUGUCCAAGUCACAUCUCAGAAGCAUCGAGUCAGAUGUUUUUUGAGGCUUUGUUUUGCGGCGUAUCACCAUCCAUCUUUUCCAGCCCGAGUCGUAACGCUCGGUGCCUUAUAACAUCGUAUGCUAUGGAGAGCAUUCUAAACGUAACAUCGUCCCACAGCCAUCUCCAUCAUCGUGACCAACAGUUCCUCUAACAGGCCACUCUGUUCCAGUCUUUUCUUCUGCUCCUUAGAGGAGCCCCCUCCAUCUACCAUCACCUUAGCAUCAGUCAUCUCUUUUGGCAUCCUCUCGGUCCUUGCCAUUAGUAAUCUUGCCAGGAACUCUUCUCUCAUCCUCGCGUCACACCGUUUCUAGCAUAAUGUGUCUUGUUUAACGUCCCCUUGUUCAUCACGUUCUGUGUCACGGGUGUCCACACGUAUUUGUGCCGGAGCUGCUCUGCCCUGCCGCAUAGCCCGGUGCAAUAGGACAAGUCCUGGGGACUUGCAGUUUGUGGGGUGUCGCUGGACUCCAGAUGAUAUUCCUAGAUUAACACAGUUUGCAGCUGUGAAGUUACCCUGCAGCCCUUUGACUUUUGUCCUCACUUUCUUUCAGAUGCAGAAGGAUGAAACCCAGGGAAAAAUCCAUCCACUCAUCCCGGGUGAAGGGGUUCCGCCCAGCAGGAAGUAAAGCCGGAUAUCAGCAGUCAAGGUGAGGUGGUCAAGGCAAUCCACUCAGAGUCCAGGCCCCAUCACCUGCCGGCCGAUUCACCAGGUUUGCUGCUCCUGUGAACCCUCUGGAAGUAUUACAGGACUCAGUGAUGAAGCCUCUGCCUUUUCUGUUUAAAGGUGUCACCCGGGUAGUCUUUGGCAAUGGCCAAGGAGUUGCAGUGAGUCGGGGAAGUAGGGAGGAGGAGCGAGGCUCCACUCAGGUUUCAACAAUGCCUCAUCACCUCAUCUCCCCUUAACCCAGGUGUACCCUGCGAUGACUGUGUCAGCCUCCGAGCACAGCUGAAGCGUGCGGCCCGAGGAGCAGGGCAUUCUUAGAAGGCUGACUAAGAACCCACAGGAAAUUAUUGAACAACAGUGCCAGCAGGAAAUUCCUGAUGUUGAGGCUGCCUUCUUUUGCACCUGACACGGACCAGCAUCCCCAGAUGUCUUAGAGAUAAGUAGAGGGCUAUGUCCCACAGAGGGGACAAAAGCGGGGUGCUGGGUUGGGACCCACCAGGAGGAGUUCUUGAGUCCGCUUUGGAGAUGGGCAUGUCCAUGAAGUGGCCCCUUAGGUCACAUACAAAGAAAGUCUCACUUUUGAUCACAGUGCUGAGGUGCGCAGGGCAGAGCAGUCCCGGUGUGUAUCGUGUCACUUGUCUAUAGUGCAUUCUGUGUUGUUUGUGUGGAUAUGUCAUGUCUUUUGCCUCAGGCCUUUGAGGGGCCUAUCAGAAACCCUGGCAUUGUUCUUACCAUCCGUGAUCUCUGCAUUCCUUGGUCAGGCACCAGUGCCAUACAACUUUUGACUCAGGAGCUCAGAGGGGUAUCAGAAUCUCUUCUCUCUUUGGAAGCAUCCAGUCAGAUGUCUUCUCAGGUCUUGUUCCGAGCUGUACGGACAGCCGCGCCCCACAAGGAUCCAUUACAGCAGAUUAGGACUUGUAAGAAUGCGAGCUUAGGCAGAGGAUUCUGACCAUAGGAUUCUCAGGCAUCCAUCUUUGCAGUUCUUGGAAUGAAUCAUUCAGUUAGCAUCUUCUUCCUCCAGGGUUCUCUGAGCCUCAUCAGCUCGCAGUUGGUCUCACCUAGGUCAUCUCAUUUUUACAUUCUCUCGGUCCUUGCAGUCAUUUUCCUUGCCAGGAGAUUUGUGUCCGUGUUGUGUCCCCCUUGUUUGUCACGUCCUGUCUUGUGUCACGGGUGUCUGCACGCAUUUGUGCCGGGGCCGCUCUGCCCUGCCGCAUAGCCCGGUGCAAUAGGAGAAAUCCCGGGGCCUUGAAGUUUAUAACGUGGGGUGUGGUUGGACUCUAGAUGGACACAAGAUGUCUGGAGCUCUGCAGGUUAAGUUUUCCUGCAACAGUUUGACUGCUGUCCUAACUUUUUUUUCAGAUUCAUAUGGAUCAGAUCUGUGCCAGAGGACCCCAUCCCAUGUGAGGGAGUUCUCCUGAGCAGGAAGUCAAUGCAGAGAGCAGCAGUCAAGGCCAAGCGGGCAAGGCAAUCCUCUUGGCGUACGUCCAGCCGCCAUCACCUGCCGGCCAACACAGUGGGCUUCCUGCAAAGUGAGCCCUGUGGAAGUGUUACAGGAGUCUGCGAUGAUGAUGCCUUCAACUUUAUUUCAUGGUCCCAUCCUGGCAGCCCUCAGGAAUGGCCAAGGAGUUGUGGUGCACCCUGCUACAAUGGUGUCAGCUGCCGAGCAGGCCUGAGGCGUGCGGCCCGAGGAGCCGGGCAUUCUCAUGAGAACGACUAAGAGACAACAGCCUGGUUUCAGCAGGGACUUCCCAGAUAGCAGGUCUGCUUUCUUUCCACCCGGCACGGAUCGGCACGCCCACCUGUCUGAGAGAUAAGUAGAGGGCUACGACCCACAGAGGGGAUGAAAGUUGGGUCUGGGUCACAAUUCACAGGGAGGGGAUUUUGAUUUGGCUUUGGAGACAGGGAUGUCCAAGCACUGCCCCCUUAGUCCCUGUAAAGGGAACACGUCAUUUGUAUCAGAGUGCCAAGGUGCACAGGGCAGAGCAGGUCCGGUGUGUAUCGUGUCACUUGUCUAUCGUGCGUUCUGUGUGUUUGGGUAUCUCACGUCUUUUACCUUAGGCCUUUGAGGGGCCUAUCAGAAACCAGUCUUGCCAUCUGUGAUCUGCGUUUUUUCAUGGCACCAAUGCCAUAGAACUUUUGACUCAGGAGCUCAGACUGGCAUCGGACUCUCAUCUCUCUUUAGAAGCAUCCAGUCAGAUGUCUUCUCAGGUCUUGUUCCGAGCUGUAUGGACAGCCGCGCCCCACAAGGAUCCAUUACAGCAGAUUAGGACUUGUAAGAACGCGAGCUUAGGCAGAGGAUUCUGACCGUAGGAUUCUCAGGCAUCCAUCUCUGCAGUUCUUGGAAUGAAUCAUUCAGUUAGCAUCUUCUUCCUCCAGGGUUCUCUGAGCCUCAUCAGCUCUCCAUCAGUCAUUUUGCAUUUUCUCGGUCCUUGCAGUCAUUUUCCUUGCCAGGAGAUUUGUGUCCGUGUCGUGUCCCCCUUGUUUGUCACGUCCUGUCUCGUGUCACGGGUGUCCGCACGCAUUUGUGCCGGAGCCGCUCUGCCCUGCCGCAUAGCCUGGUGCAAUAGGAGAAGUCCCGGGGCCUUGAAGUUUAUAACGUGGGGUGUGGUUGGACUCUAGAUGGACACAAGAUGUCUGGAGCUCUGCAGGUUAAGUUUUCCUGCAACAGUUUGACUGCUGUCCUAACUUUUUUUUCAGAUUCAUAUGGAUCAGAUCUGUGCCAGAGGACCCCAUCCCAUGUGAGGGAGUUCUCCUGAGCAGGAAGUCAAUGCAGAGGGCAGCAGUCAAGGCCAAGUGGGCAAGGCAAUCCUCUUGGCGUACGUCCAGCCGCCAUCACCUGCCGGCCAACACAGUGGGCUUCCUGCAAAGUGAGCCCUGUGGAAGUGUUACAGGAGUCUGCGAUGAUGAUGCCUUCAACUUUAUUUCAUGGUCCCAUCCUGGCAGCCCUCAGGAAUGGCCAAGGAGUUGUGGUGCACCCUGCUACAAUGGUGUCAGCUGCCGAGCAGGCCUGAGGCGUGCGGCCCGAGGAGCCGGGCAUUCUCAUGAGAACGACUAAGAGACAACAGCCUGGUUUCAGCAGGGACUUCCCAGAUAGCAGGUCUGCUUUCUUUCCACCCGGCACGGAUCGGCACGCCCACCUGUCUGAGAGAUAAGUAGAGGGCUACGACCCACAGAGGGGAUAAAAGUUGGGUCUGGGUCACAAUUCACGGGGAGGGGAUUUUGAUUUGGCUCUGGAGACAGGGAUGUCCAAGCACUGCCCCCUUAGUCCCUGUAAAGGGAACAUGUCACUUUGUAUCAGAGCGCCAAGUUGCACAGGGCAGAGCAGUCCCGGUGUGUGUGUGUAUCGUGUCACUUGUCUAUCGUGCGUUCUGUGUGUUUGGGUGUCUCAUGUCUUUUACCUUAGGCCUUUGAGGGGCCUAUCAGAAACCAGUCUUGCCAUCUGUGAUCUGCGUUCUUUAUCCUGGCACCAAUGCCAUAGAACUUUUGACUCAGGAGCUCAGACUGGCAUCGGACUCGCAUCUCUCUUUGGAAGCAUCCAGUCAGACGUCUUCUCAGGUCUUGUUCCGAGCCGUACGGACAGCCGCGCCCCACAAGGAUCCAUUACAGCAGAUUAGGACUUGUAAGAACGCGAGCUUAGGCAGAGGAUUCUGACCGUAGGAUUCUCAGGCAUCCAUCUCUGCAGUUCUUGGAAUGAAUCAUUCAGUUAGCAUCUUCUUCCUCCAGGGUUCUCUGAGCCUCAUCAGCUCUCCAUCAGUCAUUUUGCAUUCUCUCGGUCCUUGCAGUCAUUUUCCUUGCCAGGAGAUUUGUGUCCGUGUUGUGUCCCCCUUGUUUGUCACGUCCUGUCUUGUGUCACGGGUGUCUGCACGCAUUUGUGCCGGAGCCGCUCUGCCCUGCCGCAUAGCCCGGUGCAAUAGGAGAAGUCCCGGGGCCUUGAAGUUUAUAAUGUGGGUUGUUGUUGGACUCUAGAUGGGAUUUGUAGAUGGACACAAGAUGUUUACAGCUGUGAAGUUAUCCUGCAGCCCUUUGACUUUUUUCCUAACUUUGUUUCAGAUGCAGAAAGAUGAAAUCCAGGGCAGUGGGCCCCCUCUGGGGUGAGGGGGUCCGCCCAAGCAGGAAGUCAAGGCAGAGAGCCGUACUGAAGACCAAGCGCGCAAGGUGGUCCACUUGCCGUCUAUCCUGGCCGAGCAUGCCCCCGAUGCCAGGUGCUGUUGCCACUCCAGGCAUGCCUAAGAACAGAGGAGAGCAGGUAUCCUGCGGGCAGCCUCCGGAGUAGAAUCAGGAUUUGAGGUACCCCGAGGAGGUUUUCAGCCAAGGUUUGGAAACGGCAGCACCGAAGCACACACGGAGAACGUCUCGACGUCCACGUACAACCGACGAUGCAUUUUGUCCACUCGUCUUCCAAAAGCUAAGUGUCGGGGCCGAUAGUUGGGAGAAG